UGUGUGUGUGUGUGUGCAUAGGCCCCCAGUGAGCAACUUAGUUGUAGGCAGGGUAGGCAAAUACAGUUUUGUGUGUGUCUGUGCCAUUGGGAUACAAAUGUAACUAUGUGCCACUUGCCAAAGAAAAGACCAUGUAUAAAAACUUUCAGCCUAUAAUAACAAAUUAAAACAGCUUCUUGCUAUAAAAGACAUGAACAUUACUAAGCUAUUCCCUCCCAGAAUCUUAACACAUGGGUUCCCCCUGGAAAACUCCUCUGUGUGUCAACAGAUUGUGAAAAACAACAGUAGAUAACACUGCCCAGAUUACACUAACAACUUAAAAACAUUUUAUCUGGUCCUCAAAAUUAUCUUGCAUAAAAAUUUUUUUUCCUGUUUUUCAAGAAACUGAGUCCUCCAGAGAUUUAAGUAGUCCAAAGUCACAGAAACAGUUCAGGGGACAUAAUGAAGCUAGAACCCUGUUUUGUAAAAUCUAGUACUUGUUACACUGUAACCUGCACCAUCGGAAAAAAAAAAUCGUGCUUAAGCAAGAAUGGAGGACAAGGAAUGACCCCACUGGUGAGUCAUACCUGUCCCAACUAUUUUGAGGGUCACCUGAAACACAGUUCAAGUCAU